GUGCUCACUUGGGCAGCACGUGUACUAAAAUUGUAAUGAUACAGAGAUUAGCAUGGCCCCUGCUCCGGGAUGACACAACUUUGUGAAGCAUUCCCUAUUUUA